rnacentral:rRNA from 1 species
UACUUAUUUAUGCCGUUCUCGGGAGAGAGAGAGAGAGAGCGAGAUUGUGUUGCGUGACCUCUACUCUAUCUCUCUUCCAAUGAAGUCUCUUUCUCUUUCUCCUUCUAUCUUUCUCUCUCGCUCUCUUACCCCUCCUCCCGCACGUCACGCUUCCUUCCCUACUUCUCUCCCCGUACCUGCUCGUUCCUCCUGCUUUGGAACCGGAGCAUGUAGUUCCGGGUACCGCUUCCGUCUACCUUCCUUCAGGGGGAGUUUCGACCACAGGAAAGGAUGUCUCAACUGGGCACAGUUUGCUGCUUCGCUAAUGUUACUUCCAUGUGUGUAUCCCUUCGUCUGUGGAGGAUGAGCUAGUGAUGGAUGGCAGGUUUAAUUAGAGAAUCUACCUCAUCUUUUAAUUAAGAGAUUGUUUACAUAGUUUUCCUGUACUGUUGGCAUCGUAAAUUAAAGAAAACCUACAAUGGAAUGGUCUACCCAACAGUGACUUGUACUGAACGUGUUUUUCCUGUUUACCACCGGCAAAAGAAGUUGUACUUUCGUGUCACUAUUCUUUAAACUCCGGCUACUGGUGACCAAUCGGCACUCGGAAACAGACACCCACACUGGGUACGGCCUCGUGCGUGUGUGUUCACGGGUAUGUGCCAGCUUUGGUAGGUACGGUACGGUCACGUGCAUGUUUAAGCUUUCGUUCGGUUUUGUGUGCACGGUAAAAACGUACACACCAGUGACCAGAUGUUACAAUUUUGGAACACAAAAUAAAAGUAAAAGAGAAAAACUCUUAUAUAAUUAGAAAAGAGAACGGCGUUUGAUUCGUGAGAUGUACUUCGGCUACCUAUGGAUUGUGACGUGCGGAUCAGUACAAGUGGUUCGCUGUCUAGUCCUUCUAAUAACGGACCCCUAACCACUGAAAGAGUACAGACAGGUACCUACCUUGUGCGUUUACCAGCUAGUCGCCACCACGGCUCCCAACCUAGAGGGGCCUGACUCGGAGAACCUCCAGGGUGUCUGGCCUAGCCGCUAGAGAACGUCACCGGCACGACGCCGGCACCAUGAGAGGAUGAGAUUCUGCUCGAGGAAUCGGCUUUCCACGGGGUCGGUCGGUCUACGUCCAUCACCUCCCAGCAACCGUUGAAGGGGUGGCGUCGUGGUCCCUAGUUCCGGUGGCUAUGCGAGCGUCCUCGCCCGGCACACAGUUUGAAGAGAUCAAAAUCUCAAAAAAAAAUCGUAGUCAUGUCUGUGUUCGCGGAUAGUAGAACUCUAAAUGCUCCGGUAUCAUCCGCGGAGCAGCAGCUGUACUUGCAGAGGAAGGUAACUUUUGCGUAGCGGUUUUUAGGACUUUAUUUAGGUCCUUAUUUCGCUCGUGGCCCUAAACUUGGGACCACCGAACCUUUAUAGUGACAGGUGGAUUGGUAGAGUUGGUGUCCAAUCAAGUGGAGAUCAAUAUCUCAACUGCCUGCUUUAGGUGCGAAUAGUUAAACAGCUCCCUGGUUUUUAUCUGAAAAGAGUAAUCAUUUUCGAGUUGGAAGAGAGUCGUAGACCACCCUUCCUUGGAACCGUACGGAGACUCCGAGACUCGUGGGCGUUGAAGGCCCCUCAGCUGACCGUCGUACAGGGAGAAGAUUAUCAUUUACAAGCACAAAGGGGGGUGGAUCUGUAUGUUUACGUUGCUAAGAAUCCUGAACAGUGUCUUUAUACUGUAGUUAGUUUGGACGGCCGCUUCUUUGCCGGCGCGACGCGUAGGGCUAAGUAACGUGUGUACCUCGAAAGGAACGGAAAACCAGGUAGGUGGAGAUCUCUCUUCACAGCUAGUGCUAUUGGUACCGACUCCCACGAUUCGUCCAGGUGCAUCUGCGCGAUAACAUGUUACGAUUUGUCCAGGUGCAUCGGCGCGACGACAUGUUACGACUUGCCCCGGUGCAUCUGCGCGACUACAUAUAUUUAUGCCGUUGUUAGGACGGCGGGUGUCUACUCUACUGUAUCUCUCUCCAACGGAGUCUUCUUUCUCCUUCUAUCUUUCUCUCUCUCUCUCUCUCUCUCUCUCUCUUACCCCUACUCCUGCACGUCGCGCUUCCUUCCCCACUUCUCUCCCCGUACCUGCUCGUUCCUCCUGGUUUGGAACCGGAGGAUGUAGUUCCGGGUACCGCUUCCGUCUACCUUCCUUCAGGGGGAGUUUCGGCCAGACGCCGCCACGCCGUUCUCGACGGCCGACGCCACCGAGUUGAUGGAGGCCGGCUCGUAGUUCGCCCCGUUGUAGAGGCUGCUGCUGCUCCUCGAGUAGCAGUCCGAGGUGGCGGAGGAGCCGUUGUCCACCAGGGAGUAGCGCCCGUCCGACGGGCCGGCUUGUCUGUUGCUUUAGUUCUUGAUGACCUUGUCGUGGGAACCGGCCUUCCGCGAGGGCCGCGCUGACCUGUGGUGGUCCUGCCAGCGGUGUGGGACGGGGAGGCGGUCGAGGCCGAGGAGGUGGCCCCGCAGCUGUCGUACCGAAAGGAGAUUGACGCCCCUACCAUGUUCACGGUUCCGACGCCCCGACGACAGCAGCCGGAGCCACACCCACGGGUUCGGGCACUCCACGUGUCCGCCAGAGAAGGAGUCGGCCCUACGCGGCGGGGGCGGCCAGUACCUCUGCGCCCGGCACCCUCCUCUGCGUCUACUCACGUCGCCGUCGUCGAACCACCGUAGCAGCCCGCCACCGCUGACCUACCUGCUGCAUUCUCGGAAUCGCAGCAAAGAGCUCAGGCUGCUCCUGACCCUGACCCAGUUCAGGGACGUCUACCGCAUAAUUGCGAGUGUUAGAAAAAGUCGUGUCGUGUACGUGCAAAUAGUGAUGCAUGCUUAUCCCUAAACAUAACAUACACGUUUACAUGCUAUGUCGAGGAACAUGCAUGCAACGGAAGCCCGACUCUCGUGAACUGAUUACUCUCAUCGAUGGACACUGAAGACUAGUAUGAGUGUGAGAGAGCUCGACAAAUCUACCUACCACAGACUCACCCACACAAGUUGGCUUAUUCACAUACACACGGAUGUGCUCGUAGGUGUAAAACAUAACAUAAAGAUUUAUUCUUAGAUUAAUAUGAAGUUGCACCGAGAUUAAAAAGAAGAAGCUUUUCCUCCUAUAGACGGUUGGAGGAAAAAAAACUAUUUCUAUAGACGGCUGGAGACGUAGCUCUUCACCUACCUAGAUCUACUGUUAUUUACGGAUUCUUAACCUACCUGCAGCAGCCACAGCAACCUCUGCAUGAAACAACGUUG